AGUCCACCUUAAGCCUGAUUAGGCUCCUAUAGGCACCAGGUGUUGUGCCUUUGAGCUACUUUUUGAAAGCAUUGGUUGCUUGUCUUCCCUUGAUUGCCAGCACAUUCCCUGGAAUUGUUUGUGAUUGAUGACAAACUGAGCAGGAUGACUGUUCCUGCCCCAAAUGAGAGCUGAUUCAACACAUGUAGUUACUGUUGAGUGCUAACUCCUGUUGGGUUUUAGCUACAUCUUCUGUCAGUGUUGGGAUAUGGUGUGUCUAUACUUACCAUCUUCCCAUUUAGCCCAAUAUCACAAAUUUGACUUUCAUUUAAGGGGUUUUACAAUCUGUACAGCAUAUGAAACCUUCUGUCCUCUGACCCUUGAUUUGGAUAAGGAAAAACUUCCUGAAAUAAACCCUAUAAUGGUGAAAAAAAAUGGAAUUUAACUCAAGAGAAGAGGGAUCCCUUUUCCAGGAUGGACAGCGACGCAAAAUUUGUGUGUGCAAAAUAGACAAUAUACAGUUUUGACACUUCAGUAUGACCAUUUAUAAAUUGUAAACAUGCAUGAACCAUCCUGUGUUUUCUUUGUCCCAGGCCAGAGCAUUAUCCAGAAUUGGGGGGGGUUUGUGUGCCUGCUCAAAAGUACGGCAACCAUAGGUGGCUUAUUCAACUGGGGGGGAGCAAAGUUAGUUACUCUUUGUCUUUAAAAAAAAAAAAAACCCUCAAGUUGUUUCAAGCGCACCCAUUGCUGAUCAUUUGCCACCGCCUGCUUUGGCUGUCGAUCCACAAAGGAGUCUUAACUGUUUACAAAGACUCUAAAUGUUGGA